AAACUCCGCAAUGCGCGAAAGCGUGACGGGGGAACCCCAAGUGCCGUUGGUCUUUUGAUCGACGGCUUUUCGAGAGUCUAAGACGCUCU
rnacentral:rRNA from 1 species